GGAAAUGCUUGCCACUGUAGAAGUGGAUGGUGCUCACAAGAGGCCCCAGUCGUGGGUAUUUAAAAAAAUGGACUGACCGGAAAUCCGUAUCUAGCAGGAUCGAAGCGCACUGUAAAAAAAAAAAAAAAGACAAAAAAAAAAAAAAAAAAGAUCGCUGUAUUGUGUACUGGCUCUGAGAUGUAGACCCCUUUCAGCAAGCCAAUCACUAGUAACCAUCCCAGCAGUGCCCCCAUUAGGUUAGCGGGGCUGCCGCGUUUUAUAGAGCAUUUUUCUUUGGGUUUGGUGAGGUUCCUUCAUUCACUAUCUUAACUUGAAAUCGACCUCCACGGACACCUAGCUCUAAAUGACAUGUAUGAGAAAAGCAGACGCCGGAUAAGCUAGUCGAUUAUUUAAGCAUAUAAAAUAAACUGUGUUCAACUCUUCACCUACUUGGGUUCCACAGUGUUCUUGUAUCCUCUGGCAAAACCUAGCUGUCUAAUCCCCAGUCACAGGGGCCCUGUCUGUGCCUCCAGUCACUAAAGCCAUACUCUGGAACGUUCUGCUCUCUCCCGAAAACACCCACCUUGCAUAAACUCUGUGCACUUUGUGGGGGAGCUAAGAAUUUAAAGAUGAAGUAAUCUUCGUCUAUUUAGGCUCUUCUGCCCCAUAGAAGAAGAUGGGAUUUAUAAGGCCAGUGUGUCAAGAAGUUAUGCUGUUCCCAGGGAGCAUCUAUCUGUGGUUGAUUUUUUUUUUUUUUUUUACCCCCCAGGAAGCAUUGGUUUAGGUUUUGUGUCAUUAGUUUGCGGGCUUGGAGAUUUUGUCAUCACUGUUCUUGAGACAAGGUCUCAAAAUGUCUGCUUAGUUUCUUAACUGAUAUGUUGUCAGAGCUUACAGAUUGAGAAAUUUUGCUAAUAACUCGAGAUUUUUUUAUUUUACCAGUUUAUUUUGGUACUGGUCAUCAUGCAUGCUAAAAGAUGUGAACUACCACUAAGCAGCACCCUCGGCCUUCCCUGGAUAUUUCUGAGACGGCCUCACUAGCUGGUCCAAGCUGGCCUUGACUUUCCGAGGCUUCUGCCCUGUUUACUUAAGAGGGCUGCGCCACCAGACUGAACAGGGGUUCUCUUGUGAAGCAACCUCCGGCAACAGCAGACCGCCCACUCCAAAAGACGUUGUAGGUGUGACCCCUACUCUCUCCAGCUACAUUUGUGAUCCCCGUCAUCCUAGCCUUAUUUCCUACCUAACCCUGAGAGGCACUUGGAGUUUGGGGCCCACUGAUUUCAUAACUCAAAGAGUUCAAAGAUCUCAUGCCUUUGAUUCAACUUUUACCCCGGCCCACAGCCAGGCAUGGCACAUUAGGGGUGGUAUCUCUCACCAUCCUAAACUUCAAGUCCACACUAUAACAUUUUUCUUCUAAAUACAUUCCAUUCAUUGACUCGGUCCUUACCACCACUGUGUGAGUUAGAUACUAUCUUUGAUGUAACAGGCCCCAUAUAGUAUUAAUGAAUGCUUAAUGUCAUUCAAGGCUGUUAUUGCCUGUCCUAUGGGAUGAAUAUUCUCCAGAAUUCCAGCCAGAAGACAAGUACCAGAGAGCCUAUUUGGUCUAGAGAAGCCGCUUUCAAUAAACAAAGAGGCAGAGAGUACAUUUGCAUGUCAUUUGCAUGAUGUCUGUGUCUACACCCCCAACCCCUGCCAAUCAGAAACAUCUAAACGACAAGCUGCCACACCUGAAAGUUUUUUUAAAAGUCCCCAAAGCUUCUACAUAACUAAUAACAGAAUAUAAGAAUGUUAACAUCUCAUUUAAGAGCUAUGAAUUCCAGACCCUCUGGCGUUGCUAGAGAUUAUUCAGAUUUAGAAACUUAAUGGGGUUAUGUUACAUGCCUGGAAAUGUGACUUCAGGAACAGGUUGAGAGGUUCAGAUGACACCAAAGCCAUGAGUUGACCCAGAAGUCUCUGAAGUACGAUAGAUUUUAUUUACGCCUCUAACUUCUGUAUAUACUGCACCGAAAUGGGACAUAAUGUUUGUAUUUCCCUGUCAGCUCACUUAAAUGUAUUAAGAUUUUUCUUUGACAUUUUUGUAAAGAGAGAGAGAGAGAGAGAAAGAAAGAAAGAACUGUGACUGAUAAAAUCCUGAGAUUUGCCACUUCUCCUUUAUACAUUUUUACCCAUUUGUUAACAUGAAAGGGUUGUUUCUAGAAGGGACUCUCUUCACUGGCCACUCAAGCAACAGAGCUGGCUCUCUCACACUGGUAUCCCAGCAUCCCACCAUGUUCUUCUUAGCCGUCACCUUGGGGCUCCAUACAAUGGAAGUUUCUCUCCAUGGUUAAUAAACGUCGAUGGAAAAGUGGUUUGCUUGACUUUCUUCAAAGCCUCCCGCUCACAUUUGACCGUGAGGAGCCCAGAAAGAAGCCACAGGAACAGCAACUAUAGAACUUCGUGCCUCAUCCAGGGGCAUCUGGGUAUUUGUUGGCCAGGCAACUGGCAUAUUAAAAGGUGUAUCAUUUCCU
rnacentral:lncRNA from 1 species